AACCUAGACGACACCUUCUUCUCU
rnacentral:siRNA from 1 species